UGCUGCACCUCACUGCACCCUGCUUCGGAACUUAUCUAACAAACCAGUUUGCAAAUAAUCCAGGAGCCCCCCGUGGCACAGUGGGUUAAACCUUUGUGCCAGCAGACUGAUGACUGAAGGCUGCCAGUUCAAAUCCAACCUGGGGAAAGCACAGAUGAGCUCCCUCUAUCAGCUCCAGCUCCAUGCGGGGACAUGAGAAAAGCCUCCCACAAGGAUGGAAUUCUGUGACUCUGGCCAUCUCUGAAGUAAUGCCCAGCCUUCCUGACACAUCUGAAUCCAUCCUACCUGAUUCUUCCUUGCCUUCAAAGAGAUGUUCUCUUUUGACAAAAGUGGAGCAGCUGGGUCACCAGUAGUUCAUUUAUUUGUUAACCUUUCCUUUGUUUAUGGAGCUACCAGUGCAAAACUUGUCCAAACAAAGUUUGUUAUGGAAAGCUUUAGUAUAGGUCUAACAAAAUCCCCAGAAUGAAUGUAUGACUAAUAAUAAUAAUAAGAAGAAGAAGAAGAAGAAGAAGAUCGAACUACAAAGACUCUGGCAGAAGCCAGUCAAGGUGGUCCCAGUGGUGAUCGGCACACUGGUGCAGUGUGUAAAGACCUUGGCCUGCACUUGAACACAAUCGGCGCUGACAAAAUUACCACUUGCCAGCUGCAGAAGGCCACCUUACUGGGAUCUGCACACAUUAUUUGCCGAUACAUCACACAGCCCUAGACACUUGGGAAGUGUCCGGCGUGUGAUCCAGUACAACAGCCAGCAGAGUGUCUGCUGUGGACUCAUCUUGUUGUGUUUCAAAUAAUAAUAACAAUAAAUCUUUAUUUCUAUCCCACUUUUCUCCCUAAAACAGGACCCAAAGCGGCUUGCAACUUUAUGUAAAAGACUAAAUAAAACAAUGUACAUAUAUAAAACACAACCUAUAAAACAAUUUUACAAUCCGAAAUAAGUAUACAUAUUUAAAAACAUUCAUCUAAUAUGAUUAUUGCAAGCUACUCAACAAGUCAGAUGGUAAAGUUAAUGCGACUUGGAAGUUCACAAAGUAUUGACAAAUAGCAAAUAGAGUGUUCAGUCAAUGUAAUUGUAGUUAUACUUGUUGCUUUGGUGUUUUUUUUUUUGUUUUUUUUUUUAAAUGUUGGUUAUUGAGUGUAAACCCUGUCUAUGCCCAAGUAUCUCAGUACCCCAUUUUGAUGUAUAUAAAUCAGCCAACAAUCAUAGUAUGCAUGCUGUGUAGAAUUAAUGCAGUUUGAUACCACUUUAACUCCCAUGGUUCAAUGCUAUGGAAUUAUAGAAGCUGCAGUUUUAAAAGUCUUUAGCUUUUUCUGCCAAAGAAUAAUGGUGUCUCACCAAACUGUAAAUCACAUGAUUCCAUAACAUUGAAUCAUGACAAAUGAAGUGACAUUGAACUGUACUAAUUCUACAGUGUAGAUGCACCCAUAUAGUAACACUAAUGCUCUGGUUCAUAGGAGUAGUAAUUUUGUUGAAAGAUGCACAUGUGAGCCCAUGGGAUGAUGUUUUAGCACUGAAGUCCAAUUUUGUCUUUAAAGUACCUUCUGUCUAUUUUUAAAAUUAAAGCUAUUAUGUUGAUAUUGA